GGCUUGAGGACCGUAUUCAUGGAAGAGGAUCGAACAGUAAAGAGCCCAGCAUUUGAUAAAAAUGAGAAUAUAUCGCCUCAAGCAGAAGCAGAUGAAGAUAUGGGAGAUGAAGUAGACAGUAUGUUGGAUAAAUCUGAAGGAAGAACAUCAACAACAAAUUUUGUGAGCAGUAUAUAACUACAUUUCAGAAGUCUUAUAUGGAUGUACAGAAAUUCAAUGAGGAAAAAGAAAAAUCAGUGAAUAGUUGUCAAAAAGAACAACAAGCAUUGAAACUGUCCAAAUGUAGUCAGAACCAGACCCUGGAAGCAGGUAAAGAAAUGCAUGAGAAGUCCAUGGAGCUGCAUCAUUGGACUCAAACUGAAUGGUCCAUGUGUUGCCACUGAUGUGAGCCAUUUGCAAGCC
rnacentral:precursor_RNA from 1 species